AACCUAGCACACCUGCGGUGUGUACCUGCGGAAGGAUCAUUACAACAAGGUUCCCUGGCCCUCGAAGCUUCGGCGGAGGGGCGCUACAGCCUGACUUUAUACCCACCCUUUGCCUAUGUGUACCCCUAUUGCUUCCCUCGGCGGGCUCGCCCGCCGACAGGAACCAACUAAACCCUUUGCAUUAUACAUUUAACACUUCCGAUACAAAACUAAAUUAUUACAACUUUCAGCAACGGAUCU
rnacentral:misc_RNA from 1 species